rfam:Schistosoma mansoni strain Puerto Rico chromosome 1, complete genome
AUCCAGCUGAUGAGUUCCAAACGGGGCGAAACACGCGUCCUGGAU